rnacentral:misc_RNA from 1 species
AGGUUUCAUUAGGCUUACAGUCAACAGCCAUAUCCAUGCGUGCGACAAAGAAAUGCUGAUGAACUGGUGCAUAUAAACCUGGAGCAAUAGUUGUACCAUAUUUUCUUGAUUCUCCAGGUUGUAAUGCUCCUAUGCUGAGAAUACCAGUAAGCUUCACUUCCGCUUCGAUUUUACCAUCCUGAUAAAAGUGCCAGAAAAAUCCAUACUCAUAGUUAGCCACUGUACAUAUAAAUGACACAGUGAGCCUUCUUGAUCGGCGUACUUCUGCUAAGCCUGUUCUCCAGUCUUGAUGCUUCCA